rnacentral:rRNA from 1 species
CACGUAGGGUGCGAGCGUUGUCCGGAAUUAUUGGGCGUAAAGAGCUCGUAGGCGGUGUGUCGCGUCGGCCGUGAAGACCUGGGGCUUAACUCUGGGCUUGCGGUCGAUACGGGCAUCACUGGAGUUCGGCAGGGGAGACUGGAAUUCCUGGUGUAGCGGUGAAAUGCGCAGAUAUCAGGAGGAACACCGGUGGCGAAGGCGGGUCUCUGGGC